rnacentral:rRNA from 1 species
CCUACGGGUGGCAGCAGUGGGGAAUAUUGCACAAUGGGCGAAAGCCUGACGCAGCGACGCCGCGUGAGGGAUGAAGGUCUUCGGAUCGUAAACCUCUGUCAGCAGGGAAGAACGGUCACUUUGCUAAUCAGCAGUGCAUUGACGAUACCUUCAAAGGAAGCACCGGCUAACUCCGUGCCAGCAGCCGCGGUAAUACGGAGGGUGCGAGCGUUAAUCGGAAUUACUGGGCGUAAGGCGCUCGUAGGCGGUAUGUCAAGUCAAGAGUGAAAUCCCCGCGCUCAACGUGGGAACUGCCUUUGAAACUGGCAAACUGGAGUGUGUGAGAGGAUAGUGGAAUUCCAGGUGUAGGAGUGAAAUCCGUAGAUAUCUGGAGGAACAUCAGUGGCGAAGGCGACUAUCUGGCACAUAACUGACGCUGAGGAGCGAAAGCGUGGGUAGCAAACAGGAUUAGAUACCCGAGUAGUC